rnacentral:rRNA from 1 species
UACGGAGGGGGCGAGCGUUAUUCGGAAUUAUUGGGCGUAAAGGGCGCGUAGGCGGCUUGGUAAGUCAAAGGUGAAAUCCUUCGGCUCAACUGAGGAAUUGCCUUUGAAACUGCCUGGCUCGAGGCCGGGAGGGGGUAGCGGAAUUCCCAGUGUAGCGGUGAAAUGCGUAGAUAUCUGGAGGAACACCGGUGGCGAAGGCGGCAUCCUGGACCAUGACUGACGCUGAGGAGCGAAAGCCAGGGGAGCAAACGGG